CAUGCAGGCGGCUUAUUAAGUCGGAUGUGAAAUCCCCGAGCUUAACUUGGGAAUUGCAUUCGAUACUGGUGAGCUAGAGUAUGGGAGAGGAUGGUAGAAUUCCAGGUGUAGCGGUGAAAUGCGUAGAGAUCUGGAGGAAUACCGAUGGCGAAGGCAGCCAUCUGGCCUAAUACUGACGCUGAGGUACGAAAGCAUGGGGAGCAAACAGGAUUAGAUACCCCAGUA
rnacentral:rRNA from 1 species